CGAGAAACGCACAAGUCAAGUAUCACUACUAUUGAGUAAUAAUUCAGUAAAAGGAGAUAUAACUUCAUCAAUCCGUAUGUCAAAGAAAAGAGCGCAGAAAAUUAUGUACUGUCUAGAGUAAAAUAUAGAAUAACAGAAUUAAAAGAUGAACAAGGACCUUCAGAUCAAUAACAGGAUGUAAUACUUUCCAUUUCUUCGCCAUCCGAUUUGGAGGUUGAGAUUUACAUAAUGAGAACUCAGUAUCCAAAGCACUUAUAGAAUAAAAUUGAAUCACUUGGAUCAUAGUUCUCUGCCAGCCCUCUUGGUGUAAACUGAAGUAUUCUUGGUUUACAGUUAUGUAUUUCGCUUUCCAAAUGAAAAUGAAACUAAAUUCCUCGAGAAGGAAACAAAUAAAAUGAAAUUUAUUGUUAUGUUUGUCCUAUCUCAAUCUCAUCUAGCCAUGAAACAACUUCAUCAAUGGAUGGUCGUCUUCUAGGAUCCUGGUUUAUGCAUUUACAAGCUAUACUGAGCACUUCCAUAAGUUGUUUUUCACAAUCUUUAUCUAUUGAUGAAUCGAAUAUAUCCUCCUCCCUCUUCUCAGACUUCUUCUGAAACACCCAUGUCACCAAAUCCCUGCAAUUCUUUCCCUUGCAAACUUCAACAGGUCGCCUUCCGGUAAGAAGCUCAAGAAGAACAACUCCGAAACUGUAAACAUCACCUCUGAACGUUGCUGUUAAUGUCUGACUGUAUUCAGGCGGAAUAUAUCCCAAGGUGCCAACCAAAUCUGUUGUUACAUGAGUAUCAUAGGGACAAAGUAAUCUUGAGAGCCCGAAAUCAGCCAAAUGAGCUUCAAAUCUCUCAUCCAAAAGAAUAUUGCUGGUUUUGAUGUCUCGAUGAAUUAUAUUUGGCUCCUUGUGCAAAUAAGCUAAUCCACAGGCCGCCCCUCGAGCUAUUUUCAACCUGGUAUCCCACCUGAGGAAUGAACUCCCAUCAACUCUUUCAUGUAACCAAUAAUCCAAGCUUCCAUUUUCCAUAUAGGAAUAAAUUAACAACCUGUCGUUCCCGUAUCGACAGUAUCCUUGAAGAGAAACAAGGUUCUUGUGCUGAGCUCUAGAAAGGGCUUCGACUUCAGCUUGAAAUUCACGUUCCAUCUGCCCACAAUCCCCAGAAAGCCUCUUGAUUGCAGCUUUCAAACCAUUAGGUAGGUCUGCCUUAUAAACCAGACCAAAUCCUCCACAGCCAAUAAUGUUUGAUUGGUUGAAGCUGUUGGUUGACUUCAGUAAGUCUGCGAUAGUAAGAUCCUUACAGUCUGCAUUCUUAAAGAGCACCAGCUUAGGAGGUCCAAAUGCUUCAGACAACCUCGGUGGCCUGCUGAUUUCAUCAUCCAAAUCUUCAAUUGGUACUCCAGUGUCUCUUCUCGAUAUCCUAAGCAGAAGAAUGGCCAGGAGUAAAGCAAUUCCAACGCCAAUGCUGAUUGUUAUUCCAAGUAUGCUGCUCCAACCAAAUUUCUUACGUGCAGUAGGUGGGCUUGUCGUUCGGAACCCAACAUUAUUGGCAAUGCAAGGAGAAAUUAUUUUUCCACAAAGUCCAGGAUUACCCUCAAAGCUUGAGCUGGGAAAGCUAAGGAAUUGGCCCCCCGUUGGAAUUGCUCCGUCGAGAUGAUUAUUAGCAACACUGAACUUUGAGAGGAAAGUGAGCUGAUUAAAUGAUGAAGGAAUUGAUCCAUGAAGAUCAUUGUAUGAAAGAUCCAAAGUCUCCAGGUUUGUCAUAUUCGAAAUGGAGUUAGGGAUGGUUCCAGUUAUGUUAUUCCUGCUCAAGUCCAAGACAUGGAGCUGUCUCAAAUGUCCAAUUUCCGGCCAAAUUGAGCCAUUUAGUUUAUUAUUGCUCAGCAAUAUAGAUGGAGGGAAACUUGAAGCUUGAUUGUACUGCAAACCACUGGCACUCUGAUUUCUCUUUACGAAAAGAGGGAUGCCAGUGGAGGCAUUAAGAGUGGAUGAACAGCUAUUGGCAGACAUAAGGCUCUUCAGCUCAGUCAAACCUUUCGGGAUUUCUCCUGUUAGCGAAUUAUUUGAAAAAUCCAGGUAGAACAAAUUCUCCAUCCAACCAAUCUGGGAAGGGAUACUGCCAUCCAAACGAUUCCAGGACAAGUCAAGGAUUCGCAAUUUUGUGCAACUCCACAACCAAUCUGGUAUUUGACCAUUCAGGCCACAAUUUCCAAGUGCAAAAAGCAUUAAGCUCUCAAACCCACUCACAUUUUUGGGAAUUUCUUCCCCAUGGAAAUUCUUAGUGAGAAUAAGAAUGCUAAGAUUUCUGCAAUGCUUCAAAACGGACAACCCUCCAGAUAAGUUUACAAGGCUGUUGUUUGACAACGAGAGAAACGUAAGAGAUGUGAGAUUGGCAUAGCUUUCAGGGAUCUGGCCUGUUAACUUGUUCUUGGCAAGACUCAAAAUCUUUAAUUCCCGGCAACUAGAUAAUGAUUCUGGCAAGGGACUAGAAAAACGAUUACUUGCAAGAUCAAGAUUAUAGAGAUUAGGCAAUCUAGUGAAAUCAAGAUCAAUUGCACCAGAAAGAGUGUUGUUCCGCAAAUCAAGCACUCGUAAUUUAGUGCAGAGUGCCAGAGUUGAAGGCAGUGGUCCAGAGAAUGAAUUUGAAUGAGCAACUAACUGCUCGAGUUGAGUUAAAUUCCCAAAAACAUUAGGAAAAGAACCAUAAAAUCCGUUCCUGCAUAGAAAGAAGGCUUUGAGGUUGGAAAGCUUACUGAGUUUAUGGCUUAGCAGGCCAGAGAAAUUAUUGGCUGAGAGUGAAAGCUGCUCCAGGGAGGAUAACAAGUACAAGGAGUCUGGAAGUUGGCCUGAAAGAGUAUUGAAAUCCACAUGGAACUGCUGGAGAGAUGUGCUACUGCAAGUCUCCAAGCCUUCAAGUUUACCAUAAAAAUGAUUUGAUGAUAAAUCCAGAACUUGAAUGUUGGGGGAGAAACUGCAGAUUUUGGAGCCAAAUUCACCAGUAAACAUGUUGUUACUUAUGUUGAAUGCAAUGAGACUUGGAAACACCCCAAGAUCAGUGAAGUUUCCAGUGAAAGAAUUGCUCGAGAGGUUGACUGACUGAAUCCUUUUCAACCCCACAAGAGCUCCCAGUAUUGGUCCAGACAACAUGUUGUGGCUUAAAUCAAGAACUUCCAGCUGCUUCAAAUUAGAGAUAUUNNNNNNNNNNNNNUGACUUAGCUGGCCAGAGAAAUCAUUGGCAGAGACUGAAAGCUGCUCCAGGGAUGAUAACGAGUAUAAGGAGUCAGGAAGUUGGCCAGAAAGAGAAUUGAAAUCCACGUGGAACUGCCGGAGAGAUGUGCUGCUGCAAGUUUCCAAGCCUUCAAGUGCACCAAAAAAAUGAUUCGAAGAUAAAUCCAGAACCCGAAUAUCCUGGGAGAAACUGCAAAUUUUGGAACCGAAUUCACCAGUAAACAAGUUGUUACUCAUGUUGAACUCAGUAAGAUAUGGAAACUCCCCAAGAUCAGUGAAGUUUCCAAUGAAAGAAUUGCUUGAGAGGUUGAC
rnacentral:lncRNA from 1 species